rnacentral:rRNA from 1 species
AUUGAACGCUGGCGGCAGGCCUAACACAUGCAAGUCGAACGGUAACAGAAAGCAGCUUGCUGCUUUGCUGACGAGUGGCGGACGGGUGAGUAAUGUCUGGGAAACUGCCUGAUGGAGGGGGAUAACUACUGGAAACGGUAGCUAAUACCGCAUAACGUCGCAAGCCCAAAGAGGGGGACCUUCGGGCCUCUUGCCAUCGGAUGUGCCCAGAUGGGAUUAGCUAGUAGGUGGGGUAAAGGCUCACCUAGGCGACGAUCCCUAGCUGGUCUGAGAGGAUGACCAGCCACACUGAAACUGAGACACGGUCCAGACUCCUACGGGAGGCAGCAGUGGGGAAUAUUGCACAAUGGGCGCAAGCCUGAUGCAGCCAUGCCGCGUGUAUGAAGAAGGCCUUCGGGUUGUAAAGUACUUUCAGCGGGGAGGAAGGGAGUAAAGUUAAUACCUUUGCUCAUUGACGUUACCCGCAGAAGAAGCACCGGCUAACUCCGU